rfam:Cucumis sativus cultivar 9930 chromosome 6, whole genome shotgun sequence.
UUUUCAAUUUGGGUAUGAAGUCUGACAAACUCAAAUAAUUUGUGUUGUCAUCAGCUUCUUCUCGCCAAUUUUAGGAGACUGGAGUUAAAUAACAGCACCAAAUUU